UCGCCAGACUCCUACGGGAGGCAGCAGUGGGGAAUAUUGCACAAUGGGGGAAACCCUGAUGCAGCAACGCCGCGUGGGUGAAGGAGCGUUUCGGCGCGUAAAGCCCUGUCAGCGGGGAAGAAGAAAGACGGUACCCGACCAAGAAGCCCCGGCUAACUACGUGCCAGCAGCCGCGGUAAUACGUAGGGGGCAAGCGUUAUCCGGAUUUACUGGGUGUAAAGGGAGCGUAGACGGCAGAGCAAGUCUGAAGUGAAAGCCCGCGGCCCAACUGCGGGACUGCUUUGGAAACUGCCCGGCUAGAGUGCUGGAGAGGUAAGCGGAAUUCCUAGUGUAGCGGUGAAAUGCGUAGAUAUUAGGAGGAACACCAGUGGCGAAGGCGGCUUACUGGACAGUAACUGACGUUGAGGCUCGAAAGCGUGGGGAGCAAACAGGAUUAGAUACCCGUGUAUA
rnacentral:rRNA from 1 species